GCAGGCAGAUCCUCUUCGGAGGUGACGCCUGUGGAACGAGCGGCGGACGGGUGAGUAACACGUGGGCAACCUGCCUGUAAGAUUGGGAUAACCCCGGGAAACCGGGGCUAAUACCGGAUAAUACUUUUCGUUGCAUAACGAGAAGUUGAAAGGCGGCUUUUAGCUGUCACUUACAGAUGGGCCCGCGGCGCAUUAGCUAGUUGGUAAGGUAACGGCUUACCAAGGCGACGAUGCGUAGCCGACCUGAGAGGGUGAUCGGCCACACUGGGACUGAGACACGGCCCAGACUCCUACGGGAGGCAGCAGUAGGGAAUCUUCCGCAAUGGACGAAAGUCUGACGGAGCAACGCCGCGUGAGUGAUGAAGGUUUUCGGAUCGUAAAACUCUGUUGUCAGGGAAGAACAAGUGCCGUUCAAAUAGGGCGGCACCUUGACGGUACCUGACCAGAAAGCCCCGGCUAACUACGUGCCAGCAGCCGCGGUAAUACGUAGGGGGCAAGCGUUGUCCGGAAUUAUUGGGCGUAAAGCGCGCGCAGGCGGUCCUUUAAGUCUGAUGUGAAAGCCCACGGCUUAACCGUGGAGGGCCAUUGGAAACUGGAGGACUUGAGUACAGAAGAGGAGAGUGGAAUUCCACGUGUAGCGGUGAAAUGCGUAGAGAUGUGGAGGAACACCAGUGGCGAAGGCGACUCUCUGGUCUGUAACUGACGCUGAGGUGCGAAAGCGUGGGGAGCGAACAGGAUUAGAUACCCUGGUAGUCCACGCCGUAAACGAUGAGUGCUAGGUGUUAGGGGGUUUCCGCCCCUUAGUGCUGAAGUUAACGCAUUAAGCACUCCGCCUGGGGAGUACGGCG
rnacentral:rRNA from 1 species